rnacentral:rRNA from 1 species
CCUUCGGGAGGCAGCAGUGAGGAAUAUUGGUCAAUGGGCGCGAGCCUGAACCAGCCAAGUAGCGUGAAGGAUGACUGCCCUACGGGUUGUAAACUUCUUUUAUAAAGGAAUAAAGUGAGGCACGUGUGCCUGUAUGUAUGUACUUUUUGAAUAAGGAUCGGCUAACACCGUGCAAGCAGCCGCGGUAAUACGGAGGAUCCGAGCGUUAUCCGGAUUUAUUGGGUUUAAAGGGAGCGUAGAUGGGUUGUAAAGUCAGUGGUGAAAGUUUGCGGCUCAACAGUAAAAUUGCAAUUGAUACUGGCAGCCUUGAGUACAGUUGAGGUAGGCGGAAUUCGUGGUGUAGCGGUGAAAUGCUUAGAUAUCACGAAGAACUCCGAUUGCGAAGGCAGCCUACUAAACUGCCACUGACAUUGAUGCUCGAAAGUGUGGGUAUCAAACAGGAUUAGAUACCCUAGUAGUC